rnacentral:rRNA from 1 species
CCUACGGGGUGCAGCAGUAGGGAAUCUUCCACAAUGGGCGAAAGCCUGAUGGAGCAACGCCGCGUGGGUGAAGAAGGUCUUCGGAUCGUAAAACCCUGUUGUUAGAGAAGAAAGUGCGUGAGAGUAACUGUUCACGUUUCGACGGUAUCUAACCAGAAAGCCACGGCUAACUACGUGCCAGCAGCCGCGGUAAUACGUAGGUGGCAAGCGUUAUCCGGAUUUAUGGGGCGUAAAGGGAACGCAGGGGGUCUUUUAUGUCUGAUGUGAAGGCCUUCGGCUUAACCGGAGUAGUGCAUUGGAAACUGGGAGACUUGAGUGCAGAAGAGGAGAGUGGAACUCCAUGGGUAGCGGUGAAAUGCGUAGAUAUAUGGAAGAACACCAGUGGCGAAAGCGGCUCUCUGGUCUGUAACUGACGCUGAGGUUCGAAAGCGUGGGUAGCAAACAGGAUUAGAUACCCUGGUAGUC